AGGACACACUACCACACAGGCCUACUUGCGGAGCGCUCCGGAGACUUCGACGCGCGGUUGGAACGCGAACCACGGCUCAUUGACGCAUGAUACAGUAACUGUACCACUUGUGGCCAUGGGCCCCGCUACGUUCAUUGUCCUGCUGGCUGCUCUCUUGAUAGGAUCAGAAAAUGUUGAGAGCCAGCGCAGAGUUAUCGGCAGAGAGCCUCCUUCGACCGACGGCUGGCGCCCGGUGGCUGGCAGCACGGAGCAGCCGCGCUACAGCACGCAGGCCGUGGGCCACCCCGUGCUCGACAAGCUGAGGGCGCACCUCGAGGACGCCGAGCGCCGAAAGGUGGCC